rnacentral:rRNA from 1 species
GUCUACAGCCAUACCACCCUGAACGUGCCCAAUCUUGGAAGCUAAGCAGGGUUGGGCCUGGUUAGUACUUGGAUGGGAGUCAAAGUAUUACAGGAGUAACA